ACUGGUUUGGCCGAGUGGUUAAGGCAUUAAGUUCCAAUGGACAAUUGUCUGUGUGGGAUCGAACCCCACACCCAGUA
rfam:Ciona savignyi cont_55839, whole genome shotgun sequence.